GUUACCUCUUUAGACUUCAGUUUUAGGGGGCUGUUAGUGAAAGUCCCUUAGCCCGGUGGUGGCGUAGGCAGGAUUGUUUAAGUGACACUUAUUAAGGCACAUGCCGCCCUCCGGUUAACUAACCUAACAAAACCUCAAACAGUUACUAUAGGUCUUGACUAAUGAGACUUUCUAUACAACAAAGUGAGGUUAUUCUUUGUUGAUCUAUUCCAUAAGUUGCUGGCUAUCAUGUGUUUGUAGAUACCCUAAACUUAACCUAACAAAACCCCAAACAGUUAUUAUAGGUCUUGACUCAGAAAUUCAUAUAUGGUUCCUUACUAUUGAGACUUUCUAUACAACAAAGUGAGGUUAUUCUUUGUUGAUCUAUUCCAUAAGUUGCUGGCUAUCAUGUGUUUGAAGAUACCCUAAACUUAACCUAACAAAACCCCAAACAGUUACUAUAGGUCUUGACUCAGAAAAUUCAUAUAUGCUUCCUUACUAAUGAGACUUUCUAUACAACAAAGUGAGGUUAUUCUUUGUUGAUCUAUUCCAUAAGUUGCUGGUUAUCAUGUGUUUGAAGAUACCCUAAACUUAAGCUAACAAAACCUCAAACAGUUACUAUAGGUCUUGACUCAGAAAAUUCAUAUAUCGUUCCUUACUAAUGAGACUUUCUAUACAACAAAGUGAGGUUAUUCUUUGUUGAUUUAUUCCAUAAGUUGCUGGCUAUCAUGUGUUUGAAGAUACCCUAAACUUAACCUAACAAAACCUCAAACAGUUAUUAUAGGUCUUGACUCGGAAAAUUCAUAUAUGCUUCCUUACUAAUGAGACUUUCUAUACGACAAAAUGAGGUUAUUCUUUGUUGAUUUAUUUCAUAAGUUGCUGGUUAUCAUGUGUUUGAAGAUACCCUAAACUUAACCUAACAAAACCUCAAACAGUUACUAUAGGUCUUGACUCAGAAAUUCAUAUAUGGUUCCUUACUAAUGAGACUUUCUAUACAACAAAGUGAGGUUAUUCUUUGUUGAUUUAUUCCAUAAGUUGCUGGCUAUCAUGUGUUUGAAGAUACCCUAAACUUAACCUAACAAAACCUCAAACAGUUACUAUAGGUCUUUACUCAGAAAAUUCAUAUAUGCUUCCUUACUAAUGAGACUUUCUAUACAACAAAAUUAUAUUAUUCUUUGUUGAUUUAUUCCAUAAGUUGCUGGUUAUCAUGUGUUUGAAGAUACCCUAAACUUAACCUAACAAAACCUCAAACAGUUACUAUAGGUCUUGACUCAGAAAAUUCAUAUAUGGUUCCUUACUAAUGAGACUUUCUAUACAACAAAGUGAGGUUAUUCUUUGUUGAUUUAUUCCAUAAGUUGCUGGCUAUCAUGUGUUUGAAGAUACCCUAAACUUAACAUAACAAAACCUCAAACAGUUAUUAUAGGUCUUGACUCAGAAAAUUCAUAUAUGCUUCCUUACUAAUGAGACUUUCUAUAUGACAAAAUGAGGUUGUUCUUUGUUGAUUUAUUUCAUAAGUUGCUGGUUAUCAUGUGUUUGAAGAUACCCUAAACUUAACCUAACAAAACCUCAAACAGUUACUAUAGGUCUUGACUCAGAAAUUCAUAUAUGGUUCCUUACUAAUGAGACUUUCUAUACAACAAAGUGAGGUUAUUCUUUGUUGAUUUAUUCCAUAAGUUGCUGGCUAUCAUGUGUUUGUAGAUACCCUAAACUUAACCUAACCAAACCUCAAACAGUUAUUAUAGACCUUGACUCAGAAAAUUCAUAUAUGCUUCCUUACUAAUGAGACUUUCUAUACAACAAAGUUAGGUUAUUCUUUGUUGAUUUAUUCCAUAAGUUGCUGGCUAUCAUGUGUUUGAAGAUACCCUAAACUUAACCCAACAAAACCUCAAACAGUUAUUAUAGGUCUUGACUCAGAAAAUUCAUAUAUGGUUCCUUACUAAUGAGACUUUCUAUACAACAAAGUGAGGUUAUUCUUUGUUGAUUUAUUUCAUAAGUUGCUGACUAUCAUGUGUUUAAAAACAUCCCAAACUUAACCUAACCUAAGAAAAUCACAAAGUUACCAAACAUCUUGACUUUGAAAAAUCAUAUAUUCUUCCUUGCUGCCUGAGUGAGGUCAUUCUUUGUUAUUUUGUGCCAUAAACUGUCAGGUAUUAUGUGUUUGAAGAUGCCCUAAACUUAACAUAACCUAACAAAACCGCAAAAAAUUUACCAUACAUCUUGACUCAAAAAACAUCUAUUCUUCCUUACCAAAUGAGACUUUCUAUAUAUAUAACACAGUGAAGGCUUUCUUUGUUAAUUUCUGCUAUAGGUGUCUGGAUAUCAUGUGUUUGCAAGUUCCUUAAACAUAAUCUAACUUAGUGGAAAUGCAAUAUUUUGUUGCUUAAAACUUUUUGAUUAAUAGUUAUAUCAACUAAAAUUGGUUUGUUUUUAAUACAAAUACACACAUGUGAAAAUUUUAAAAUUUUUAAAAAUAUCCCCGGCUUUCCCAGAAACUUCCUUUUUUUUUUAAACUUUCCCACUCUUUGCAACUCUAAGUGAGAUGCACUGCCACUCACCUGCUUGGAGAGGCCACCCACUGCAUGACUCUGCCCUGAUGCUAAAGCUUGAUAGAAACUCAUGGCAGCAAGUGUGGCCAGAGCUUUGAGUUAUGUUCAGGGUAAAAGGAUCCAAGAGAGAGGGAGAUGUUGAUGUAUACCUAAUUCAUGCACAAAAGUAUAGAGAGUGAAUUUAUGAGAAAUAAGAAAUUUAAAAGUAUGAAAAGUUACACUAAAAGGAUGAGAAUGCAGGUUUGUUUUCAUAUUUAUCAUCUGAGGAAAUUAUGUAUCACUUAUUCUUUUUAGAUGAAGUACAAGAGAUUCACAACUUGUUUUUAAUCCAGGAGUUUGUUUUUCAUGCAACAGUUUGUUUUCAAAUGCAGGAGUUCCCUUUUGCUUAUGGGGGAAAAGAAUGAAAACAAAGCUGACGAUGGUCUUUUGUCACACAUGUAAAAUAUCCCUUGGCUGUUUAGUUCUGGCACUGCACCAUGAAUGUCCACCCCAAUCAAUCAACCAAUCCCUUGUCUGCCCCU